CACGUAGGGGCGCAAGCGUUGUCCGGAAUUAUUGGGCGUAAAGAGCUCGUAGGCGGACUGUCACGUCCGCUGGUGAAAAGCCUAGGGCUUAACCCUGGCCUUGCAGGUGGAUACGGGCAGACUAGAGGUGAGGUAGGGGAGAAUGGAAUUCCCGGUGUAGCGGUGAAAUGCGCAGAUAUCGGGAGGAACACCGGUGGCGAAGGCGGUUCUCUGGGCCUUACCUGACGCUGAGGAGCGAAAGCGUGGGGAGCGAACAGG
rnacentral:rRNA from 1 species